rnacentral:rRNA from 1 species
GACGAACGCUGGCGGCGUGCUUAACACAUGCAAGUCGAACGGUUAUGCUCCAGCUUGCUGGAGUGGAUCAGUGGCGAACGGGUGAGUAACACGUGAGCAACCUGCCCCAGACUCUGGAAUAAGCGCUGGAAACGGCGUCUAAUACUGGAUACGAAACUGGCCCGCAUGGGCAUGGUUUGGAAAGUUUUUCGGUUUGGGAUGGGCUCGCGGCCUAUCAGCUUGUUGGUGAGGUAAUGGCUCACCAAGGCGACGACGGGUAGCCGGCCUGAGAGGGCGACCGGCCACACGGGGACUGAGACACGGCCCAGACUCCUACGGGAGGCAGCAGUGGGGAAUAUUGCACAAUGGGCGAAAGCCUGAUGCAGCGACGCCGCGUGAGGGAUGACGGCCUUCGGGUUGUAAACCUCUUUCAGCAGGGAAGAAGCGAAAGUGACGGUACCUGCAGAAGAAGCACCGGCUAACUACGUG